GUGGCGUUGUCAACCAAUGGCUGCGAUUAUUUCCAUGUGGAAACCGCUCUGUCACAGGAACUGUUAAUCCAGGCUGGUGACGCUCUGGAUUUGGCUAAAAAUAUCGUGUAUAGUGCAUCUUACAGGCUCAAGCGGACAAGUGAAAUUUCCGUGAAUACGACGGAGCAGAUGGUUCGGAUCUAUGCUUCCACCUUCAUGAAAACCGCCGAGGACGUCUACCAUGGGAAGACCAACACGGCAACCCUCUGUUAUUAUCUCGACGCUCUCGGAGGUUUGGCUGCGAUCAGCCACAUCUUAUUCGUCGACACUCUAGACGCCGUGAACGAUGUACUGCUCGAAGAAGGUAAACUGAAGCACAGCCCCGACAUCGACGCAGAGGCUGCUUACCGCAGGUUUGAGCAGAAACUGUCUCUUCCGGAGCGGAAGGUUUGGGCGAGGGGUUUACUGUUCAAACCAUGUGAGAUUCUAGAGCAGAUAGUCUGCCCUGCGACCAAGCACACGAGGCAGUUCAUUGCACAGAUGAUUGGGCUGCGCAAGGAUGCGCUAAACCAAGUCCCAGAAGGAAUAGUGUGUUAC
rnacentral:rRNA from 1 species